CUUCCCGGUCCGCAGGCUCCUCCACCUCCCAGGCCUGGUUUUCCAUCUGUUAGGCCACUACCUCCACCUCCUGGGCUUGCGCUGAAUAUUCCUAGGCCUCCUAAUACAGUCCAGUAUUCCACCUCCACCAGUGCUGGGGUUGCUGCUCCACCUCGACCUCCUAUGGUUAACAUGAUUCCUCAGGUUCGGCCCCCACCUCCUCCCAUGCCACAGAUGCUAGGUCAGCAAAAUCUGAUGGUAAAUCGUCCACCAAUGCCUCCAUCAGUGGCCAUGAAUUCACAUGGCCAUCCUAUUCCACCACCUCCUGGAUCACAGUUUACACCUUUGGGA
rnacentral:lncRNA from 1 species